GCACCGCUAGCUCAACUGGCAGAGCAUCUGACUCUUAAUCAGAGGGUUCUGGGUUCGAGUCCCAGGCGGUGUACCA
rnacentral:tRNA from 4 species